UACGUAGGGGGCAAGCGUUGUCCGGAAUUACUGGGCGUAAAGCGUUCGUAGGCGGUUUGUUGCGUCGGUUGUGAAAACCAGCAGCUCAACUGCUGGCUUGCAGGCGAUACUGGCAGACUUGAGUACUGAAGGGGAGACUGGAAUUCCUGGUGUAGCGGUGAAAUGCGCAGAUAUCAGGAAGAACACCGGUGGCGAAGGCGGGUCUCUGGGCAGUAACUGACGCCGAGGAACGAAAGCGUGGGUAGCGAACAGG
rnacentral:rRNA from 1 species